CGAGCACGCGCGUGUGGCAUAUCAAUAAGCGGAGGAAAAGAAACUAACAAGGAUUCCCUUAGUAACGGCGAGUGAAGCGGGAAGAGCUCAAAUUUGAAAUCUUCAAGGUUUCUACCUUGACGAAUUGUAGUUUAUAAGAAGUGUUUUCUGUUAGUGGAGUGGCAAAAGUUCUUUGGAAUAGGACAUCAUAGAGGGUGAGAAUCCCGUAUUUGGUCAUUCCUCCUAGCGUUGUGAUACACUUUCAACGAGUCGGAUUGUUUGGGAAUGCAGUCCAAAAUGGGUGGUAAAUUUCAUCUAAAGCUAAAUAUUGGCGAGAGACCGAUAGCGAACAAGUACCGUGAGGGAAAGAUGAAAAGAACUUUGAAAAGAGAGUUAAACAGUACGUGAAAUUGUCAAAAGGGAAGCGUUUGACACCAGUGUUGUUUUUCCGAAAAUCAAUUACGAAUGUUUUGUUUUUAAGGAGUUAUGACUUCAUCGGCUUGCUUCUUUCUUUACGAAACUUUCUUAAUGCACUUUUCGGUUAACAAGUCAACAUCAAUUUCUUUUGUUGUAAAAGGGUAUGAGGAAGGUGGCUUUCUUUUCGGAGAAAGUGUUUAUAGCCUUGUGCCUCUGCAAUCGGAGAGAUUGAGGUCUGCAGCGUAGAUCCUUCGGGGUUAGAUACGUUUGUGCUAAGUUAUAGCUUUUCAUAGACAACUUGUUGACUAUGUUUAGUCUUGUAGCUUACUCGCUGACGCUAUUUUACCUACGCUUAGGAUGUUGAACUCUAUCACACACAG
rnacentral:rRNA from 1 species